rnacentral:rRNA from 1 species
AGCAGCUGCGAUAAUUCCAGCUCCAAUAGUAUAUAUUAAAGUUGUUGCAGUUAAAAAGCUUAUAGUUGAACUUUGGGAUUUAUUUAUUGGUCAAGCUUAACUGUCUGUACUGGUGUGAUGAAUUUCUACCUUCUGAGGAAUCAUUAUGCCAUUCACUUGGUGUGAUGGGGAAUCAGGACUGUUACUUUGAAAAAAUUAGAAUGUUUAAAGCAAACUAACGUCUGAAUACAUUAGCAUGGAAUAAUAAAAUAGGACGGGUUGGUUCUAUUUUGUUGGUUUCUAGGAUCACUGUAAUGAUUAAUAGGGAUAGUUGGGGGCAUUAGUAUUCAAUUGUCAGAGGUGAAAUUCUUGGAUUUAUUGAAAACUAACUACUGCGAAAGCAUUUGCCAAGGAUGUUUCAUUAAUCAAGAACCAAAGUUAGGGGAUCGAAGACGAUCAGAUACCGUCGUAGUCUUAACCAUAAACUAUGCCGACGUAGGGAUCGGAUGUAAGUUUAAUUUUAAAUGUACUCGUUCGGCGUCCGUUAACCGGG